rnacentral:rRNA from 1 species
AUUGAACGCUGGCGGCAGGCCUAACACAUGCAAGUCGAACGAGAGGCGGACGGGUGAGCAAGGUAGUGGCAACUGCCCGAUGGAGGGGUAUAAAUAGGGGAAACGUUAGAUAAUAGCGCUAACCGGGGGAUGUGCCGAGGUGGGAUUAGGUAGUAGGUGGGGUAACGGCUCACCGAGGCGACGAUCCCUAGCUGGUCGGAGAGGAUGACCAGCCACACUGGAACGGAGACACGGUCCAGACUCCUACGGGAGGCAGCAGUGGGGAAUAUUGCACAAUGGGCGAAAGUCUGAUCCAGCCAUGCCGCGUGUAUGAAGAAGGCCUUCGGGUUGUAAAGUACUUUCAGUGAGGAAGCGUUACCCGCAGAAGAAGCACCGGCUAACUCCGUGCCAGCAGCCGCGGUAAUUC